UAUAAAAAAAAUUAGUUUGGUUUUUUAGGUGAAUUGGCCCAAAAAUUUUAAAACCAAGAACUGAUCAAAAAACUAAUUAGACCAAAUAUUUUGGACCAAUUGAUCCAAUUAGAUUGAACCAUUUUAUCCAAAUCGUAUUUGAUUUAGGUGAGUAAUUGAUUUAAAUUGAUUUUAUUCACCCCGACUGAUAUCUACUAUUUGAUUUCCAAUUGUUUAAUAAACUAAUAAAAUCACUCUCUUGUGAGAUCAUCUUCUAUGCACUUUUGUCUGCACAAGAGGCUAUGUUGUCACUGCUCUACCAUCUUGCUUUUUUGGACGUCUGUGGCAGCAAGAUGAUAGCUGGAAUCCGGAUACAAACGUCCUCGAUAUUCCCUAUGGGUACACGGCACUCCGUAUUUUUUUUUUUUAUUUGAAGGGCAAUGUUUUAUUGAUACAGCAAAGCCACUUGGGCUUGAGAGUACCAAAAGAGCCCUCAGGAGUGAGGACUAGCAGUGCAUCAGAAGGACCUGAUGUGCCAACAAAGCAGAAAAAAGAAAUAAAGCCAACGCAAUAAACCCACAAACAACCUAUCACACGGUCUAAAGAGUAGUCCUCCGUAUCUUUGUUCAUUGUUUAAAGUUUGUUUCAAGCAGUGUCAUUUGAGCUUCAUAUAGCCGCCGGAUCCAAAGACGGCAUUUCAUAUAGA